UUCUUUUAUUGCUUUAGAAAAUAACUCAAAACUAAAGCUCUCACAAAUCUCUCAAUCUCACACACUAAAGUCAUAACUCGACUUCUCUAUUUAUAUAAAACCAAAACCACCUAAGUCCUAAUCCAAAUAGGACUUUAUAAAACCAUAAAACCAUUAACCCUAAUCCAUAUCUCGGUAGGAUUAUAAUAACUUGUCCUUCAAGUCUUCGUCUUCUUCAAGCUUAACUCAACAUUCUCCCCCUUAAGCUUGAACACAUCCUUCUUCAAGUCCUGAACUCCAAUGAACUCUCUCAUUUCCCUAAACUUGAUCUUCCCUAAAGCCUUUGUUAAAAUGUCCGCCUUUUGUUCCUUUCCCGGAACAUACUCCACUUCUAUAUAUCCAUUCUCAACACAUUCUCUUAUAAAAUGAUAACGCCUAUGAAUAUGUUUACUUCUUCCAUGAAAAACUGGAUUUUUAGUGAGUGCUAGAGCUGACUUGUUGUCCAAGAAAAUUGUAACCUUUUCACUAGAAGAACCAGUUAUUUCACCAAGUAGAUCCUGAAGCCAUAUGGCUUGCUUUGCAGCUUCAGUACCUGCCAUAAACUCUGCCUCACAUGACGACAUUGCCACCGUGUUUUGUUUAUGAGUACACCAUGUAAUGGGAAAAUUAUUGAGAUAAAAGAUGUGGCCUGCUGUACUCCUUCCAUCAUCUUUAUCCACAUUGUGCGAACUGUCACUGUAUCCUAUUAAGCCACUCUUGUCUCCACGGGUGAAGUCUAAUCCAAAAAACGACGUUCCACGUACGUACCUGAGUACUGCCUUCAUUGCAGCACCAAGCGAUUGUCUUGGAUCAUGCAUAUAGCGACUCAAGAUUCCUACACAAUACGCGAGAUCCGGCCGUGUGUGAAGCAAGUACCGUAGACAGCCGAUGUUUCUCCUAUACUCUGUCUCAUCGAUGCAUUCUUCUUCUUGUGAUUUAGACAACUCAAGACCAGCUUCCAUUGGUCUAAGAGUCGAGUUACACUCUUUCAUGCCAGUCUCCUCGAGUAUUUUCUCGGCAUAUCUCUCUUGUUUCAGCAUGAUCCCUCCAUGAUAUUGCAGUACUUCAAUCCCAAGGUAGUAUGUUAAGCGCCCAAGAUCACUCAUUUCAAAUUUUGACGCCAUUCCCCUUUUGAAAUCGAUUAUCAAACCCAAAUUUGAACAUGUGACAAGCAAAUCAUCAACGUAAACAGCAACAAUUAGAAUAUGCUCCCUUUCUUGUUUCCGAUACAAUGAGGGUUCUUUUGCACAUUUUUCAAAUCCUAAUUCUUUGAGAAUCCCGUUGAGUUUGUUGUUCCAAGCUCUUGGUGCUUGUCUUAAACCAUAGAGCGCCUUGUUUAGCUUGUAAACUUUGUCUUCUCUCCCCUUUGCUUCAAAGCCUUCUGGUUGUUUAACAAAUACUACUUCUUUUAAUUCACCAUGCAAGAAAGCGGUUUUGACAUCGAGAUGAUGAACUUCCCAAGAGUUUGAAGCAACAAGAGCAAGAAUGAACCGGAUUGUCUCAAUACGAGCUACGGGAGCAAAGACUUCGUCGAAAUCAAUACCAUGUCGUUGUACAUACCCUUUGGCCACGAGCCUUGCCUUAUAUUUAUUUAAGCUUCCAUCAGAAUUCCUCUUGAUUUUAAAAACCCAUUUUAAGCCNNNNNNNNNNNNNNNNNNNNNNNNNNNNNNNNNNNNNNNNNNNNNNNNNNNNNNNNNNNNNNNNNNNNNNNNNNNNNNNNNNNNNNNNNNNNNNNNNNNNGUUGAUUGAAUUGAUCUCCUCUUGGCAUGCAUCUCUCCACUCCUUUAAAUUUUUUGCUUCAUCAUAAUUCCAAGGUUCUUGGUUUACAGCCAACAGAAGCUUUUCACACUCAAUCUGAGCCAUUAGAACAUAGUCUUCUAAGUGUUUUGGCAUCGUGAUCUGUCUUGUUGAUCUUCUUAACGGGACAGGUAUGUCAUUGUCUUCAGUCUCUGUUUCUUGAUCAUCACUCUCCUCCCUGUUACUGUUUUCACUAAGAGCAUCCUCAUCUCUUCUUUCUUCGUUGUUGACAAGAACAAGGUCUUCUUUUAUGCCUUUGUUUCCAUAAUCUUCGAAGUUAACUGUGAACAUCCCUGGUUUGGGUUCAGAAUCUUUCUCGAGAUUGUUCCACCUCCAGCUCCUACUCUCGUCAAAAACAACGUCACGACUCACCGUUAUCUUCUUUGUUGUUGGGUCUAGUAGUCGAUACGCUUUUGACCCUGGUUCAGUUCCGAGGUGUACUAAUUUUCUGGAUCGAUCAUCUAACUUUCUUAAGUGAGGAGCUUCCACCUUUGCAUAGCCAAGACACCCAAAUACGCGGAGAUGCUCAAUAUUCGGUUUUCUUCCUUUGUAUACCUCAUAUGGGGUUUGUGUCUUCAGCACUCUUGUUGCUACUCUGUUUAUGACAUAGGUAAAAUGUCUCACUGCUUCUCCCCAAAGGUAGUUAGGUACACUCAUGUACUUUAGGAUGCUUCUAGUCAUUUCCAUAAGAGUUUACUUCCCAAGAAUUUCAAAGCUUUUGUGAAAGUAAUGGCAUACAACGACACCUAACCGCACCAUACUCACCGCAGCAAAAUGGAGUCGUAGAGAGAAGAAAUCGAACGCUUAUGGAAAUGACUAGAAGCAUCCUAAAGUACAUGAGUGUACCUAACUACCUUUGGGGAGAAGCAGUGCUCGCGCCAUAUUGUUCUUAUCCUCGUCUUCGUCUCCGGGGUCAAUCGAUUCCCAAACUUUGUGGACCUUAAGUAGGAGCUCCAUACGAAUAGACCAAACCGCAUAGUUGGUACUAGUAAGCAUUGGACAUUGUAUGGAAGAAGAUCCACUCUCCUUUGGCUUUGGCUGGGCAGCCACUAUCUCAGCCAUGGUCUAAACAAUAUGAUUUUGCUCUGCUACCAAAUAUUGUUUUAGAAACCUUAAGAACAAGAGAUCAAGAAUAUAUAAAAGACACCUUUCUUUUAUUGCUUUAGAAAAUAACUCAAAACUAAAGCUCUCACAAAUCUCUCAAUCUCACACACUAAAGUCAUAACUCGACUUCUCUAUUUAUAUAAAACCAAAACCACCUAAGUCCUAAUCCAAAUAGGACUUUAUAAAACCAUAAAACCAUUAACCCUAAUCCAUAUCUCGGUAGGAUUAUAAUAACUUGUCCUUCAAGUUUUCGUCUUCUUCAAGCUUAACUCAAC
rnacentral:lncRNA from 1 species